rnacentral:rRNA from 1 species
UUAUUGGGCGUAAAGGGCUCGCAGGCGGUUCCUUAAGUCUGAUGUGAAAGCCCCCGGCUCAACCGGGGAGGGUCAUUGGAAACUGGGGAACUUGAGUGCAGAAGAGGAGAGUGGAAUUCCACGUGUAGCGGUGAAAUGCGUAGAGAUGUGGAGGAACACCAGUGGCGAAGGCGACUCUCUGGUCUGUAACUGACGCUGAGGAGCGAAAGCGUGGGGAGCGAACAGGAUUAGAUACCCGGGUA